AGGGCUCCCCUCACAGUGGGUGCUCAGAGGCCGCUGAUAUCAGUGGAGCUGGAAUGUAGGAAGGCAGGAUGCGUGUUUGGAGCCAUGCUGGCUGUCACCAGAGGUUGUCCUCCAGCAGCUAAGCCUUCCCGGGCAUUGCGUCAUGAGCACAUACCGUCCAGAGCCUUCGACACUGCUUUUUGUUUCCCUUGAUUUAUUCACGGCCCAAUUCUCACUUUCCUCAGGGCAGGGCCUCAGCUUCUGACCGCAGUCCCCAGCAGCUUCAGAGAAGUGUUUGUGCCCUGCAAUGGUUCCUUCAGGUGACCAGACCAAGGCAGAGGCAGCCAAGGGCUGGGAUGGGGCUAGGUGACCUCAUAACUGUGGGAGCUGUGGCUGGAGGUUGUCAGAGAGAGAACGUGGAAUUCCAGUGUAGUAUGGAGAUUUCCCAGAAAGCACAUGAAGUUUUAACCCCUGAAAAAUAAUCUGCUGCCAGGAUAAAGGAUGCAGUGAAGACUAGAAGAGGAAGAACUAAUCAGGAAGGGCAAAUUCCACACCCACACGUAGGCUUCCAGCAACAUCUUUCUCAGCAGAACCUGGGCUGUGGCAUGGCAGCCUUGAGGCUAAAGGAUCCAGGUGCAUACUGUAUCUGGCAUUUCUCCCCAUGUUAUCACUCUCCACCCUCCCUUCCCUCCCCACCCCCUGCUGUCUCUCCCCUACCUCCCCAGCUGUACCCAGUGUGUGAAGCUCCUCUCCCUGAGUCCACAUGUUUCGUUGUUCAACACCCACCUAUGAGUGAGAACAUGCGGUGCUUGGCUUUCUGUUCUUGUGUCAGUUUGAUAGACUAAAUAUUUUAAUAAACAGGCUAAAAUUGGCAGAAUAAAUGAAAAAGGAUUCAACUAUCUCGUGUCUACAAGUUGAACACUUUAGGUUCAGUGACACCCAAAGAUUAAAAGUAAAAGAUACGCCAUGUGAAUAGUCAUCAAAAACAGCUCUAAUGUUUCUACUAAUAUCAGACAACAUAGACUUUGAUGCAAAAAUUGUUAGUGAACAAGAAGACGUUGUACAAUGAUAAAAGGCUUAAUCACCAGGUAGACAUCGCAAUCCAAAAUGUACACGUAAUAACAGAGUGCCAAAAUACAUGAAUCAAAAACUGAAAACAAGAAAAGGAGAAAUAGACAACUCAACAACAGUAAUUGUGAGCUUCAACACUGAGCUUUCAAAAUGUAUAGAAAAACUCAAAAAGAUCAAUAAAGAAAUAAAAGACUUACCAUCUCACACCAAUUAGAAUGGUGAUCAUUAAAAAAUCUGAAGACAACAGAUGCUGGAGAGGAUGUGGAGAAAAAGGAACACUUUUACACUGUUGGUGGGAGUGUAAAUUAGUUCAACCAGUGUGGAAGACAGUGUGGCGAUUCCUCAAGGACCUAGAAAUAGAAAUUCCAUUUGACCCAGCAAUCCCAUUACUGGGUAUAUAUCCAAGGGACCAUAAAUCGUUCUACUAUAAGGACACAUGCACAUGAAUGUUCAUUGCACCACUGUUUACAAUAGCAAAGACCUGGAAUCAACCCAAAUGCCCAUCAAUGAUAGACUGGACAGGGAACAUGUAGCACAUAUACACCAUGGAAUAUUAUGCAGCAAUUGAAAAUGAUGAGUUUGUGUCGUUUGUAGGGACAUGGAUGAAUCUGGAGAACAUCAUUCUCAGCAAACUGACACAAGAACAGAAAAUGAAAUACCGCAUGGUUUCACUCAUAGGCGGGUAUUGAACAAUGAGAACACAUGGACACAGAGAGGGGAGCACUACACACUGGGGUCUGUUGGGGGGAAUAGGGGAGGGACAGCAGCGGGUGGGGAGUUGGGGAGAGGUAGCAUAGGGAGAAAUGCCAGAUAGAGGUGAAGGGGAGGAAGGCAGCAAAUCACACUGCUACAUGUGUACCUAUGCAACUAUCUUGCAUGUUCUUCACAUGUACCCCAAAACCUAAAAUGCAAUUUAAAAAAAUAAAUAAAUAAAAAAGACUUGGGCCGGGUGCAGAGGCUCAAGCCUGUAAUCCCAACACUUUGGGAGGCCGAGGCAGGUGGAUCACGAGGUCGAGAUCGAGACCAUUCUGGCCAGCAUGGGGAAAUCCUGUCUCUACUAAAAAUACAAAAAUUAGCUGGGCGUGGUGGCAUGCACCUGUAGUCUCAGCUACUCGGGAGGCUGAGGCAGGAGAAUUGCUUGAACCCAGGAGGUGGAGGUUGCAGUGAGCCGAGAUUAUGCCACUGCACUCCAGCCUGGUGCCUGGCGAGAGAGUGAGAUUCUGUCUCAAAAAAAAAAAAAGAAAAAAGAAAUAAAAGACUUGAAAACAUCUCAAAUCAACUGGCCCUAAAAGACAUAACUGGAACAUUCCACCCAGUAGACUACCUGUUCUUCUCCAGUUCACUUGCAGUAUUCUCGAGGAUGGACCAAAUGGUGGGGCACAAAGCAAACCUCAAUAAUUAAAAGCAUACCAAAAUCAUGCUAAGUAUCUUCUCUGAGCAUAAUGAAAUAAAGCUAGAAUUCAGUAACAGAAGAAACAGAAAUAUUUUCAAAUAGGUGGAAAUUAAACAACACAGUCUUAAGCAACCAAUGGAUCAAAGAAAGAAAAUCAUGAGAGAAAUUAGAAAACAAUUUAAGGUAAAUAAAAACAAAUAAACAACAUAACAGAACUUAUGGUGUACAGCCGGAGCAGUGUUUAGAUAGAAAUUAAUAGCUGUACAUUAUUACCCUAUUUAAAAAAGAAAAAUCUUCUCAAAGCAAUAACAUAACCACACACCUUAAUACAUUAUUAGAAAAAAAUGAGAAAACUAAAGCCAAAAUAACCAGAAGGAAAUAGUGAAGUUUAGAUGAAAAAUAAGUGACCUAGAGAAUAGAAAAACAAUACAGAACAUUAAUGAACCAGAGUUGGUUCUUGGAAAAGAUUAACAAAAAUUGGCAAAUCUUUAGCUAAGCAGAUUAAGAAAAUAAGGAAGACUCAAAUCACUAAAAUCAUUAAUGAAAUAGGGAACAACCUUAUUCUGUAAGAAUUCCCAACCUUACAGAAUUCUUUAAGAAUGAUAAAGAAAUACCAUAAAAAUUGUGUGCAACAAAUUAGACAACUUAUCGGAAAGAUGAGGUGCAAAAGAUUUCUAAAAAGUAAUAAACUGUCAAAAACAACAUCAAAAGAAAUAGAAAGUUAUAUUAUAUCUAUAACAAGGAGGUAGUGGAUUAUUAAAAAAAAUCUUCCCACAAAGAAAAGCCCAGGUAUAUACGUAAUUCCUAAAGUACUCUUAAAAAAUUAAAGCAGGAUGAUAUAGUUCAUAAGCCAACAGUAAAAAUGAAGUGAAAUUAUUAAUAAAUAUUAAAUACUUAAUGGGUAUUUACGUUUUGUAAAAAAAAAAA
ensembl:lncRNA